UUUCCCUACGGGGGGCAGCAGUCGGGAAUAUUGCGCAAUGGAGGAAACUCUGACGCAGUGACGCCGCGUAUAGGAAGAAGGUUUUCGGAUUGUAAACUAUUGUCGUGAGGGAAGAAAUUGACAGUACCUCAGGAGGAAGCUCCGGCUAACCAUGUGCCAGCAGCCGCGGUAAUACAUAGGGAGCAAGCGUUAUCCGGAUUUAUUGGGUGGAAAGGGUGCGUAGACGGGAAAUUAAGUUAGUUGUGAAAUCCCUCGGCUUAACUGAGAAACUGCAGCUAAAACCGAUUUUCUUGAGUACUG
rnacentral:rRNA from 1 species